rnacentral:rRNA from 1 species
UACGUAGGGCGCAAGCGUUGUCCGGAAUUAUUGGGCGUAAAGAGCUCGUAGGCGGUCUGUCGCGUCGGCUGUGAAAACCCGGGGCUCAACCCCGGGCCUGCAGUCGAUACGGGCAGACUAGAGUGUGGUAGGGGAGACUGGAAUUCCUGGUGUAGCGGUGGAAUGCGCAGAUAUCAGGAGGAACACCGGUGGCGAAGGCGGGUCUCUGGGCCAUAACUGACGCUGAGGAGCGAAAGCAUGGGGAGCGAACAGG